GACGAACGCUGGCGGCGUGCUUAACACAUGCAAGUCGAACGACGUGGCGCACGGGCGAGUAACGCGUAAUCAACCUGCCCUUCAGAGGGGGACUACAGUUGGAAACGACUGCUAAUACCGCAUACUGAAGGAGGUGAUUGCGUCUGCUUAGCUAGUUGGAGGGGUAACGUCCCACCACGGCGAUGAUCAGUAGCCUGUCUGGGUGGGUGAACGGCCAUGUUGGGACUUAGACACGUCCCAGACUCCUACGGUAGGCAACAGUGGGGAAACUUCCGAAAUGGAGGAAAGUCUGACGGAGUAACGCCGCGUGGGUGAUUACGGCCUUCGGGUUGUAAAGCUCUGUUAAUCGGGACGCGGUACCUGAAUAGAAAGCCACGGCUAACUACGUGCCAGCAGCCGCGGUAAUUC
rnacentral:rRNA from 1 species